rnacentral:lncRNA from 1 species
UCCUCAAAAUCCUGUUAACCAUCUGCCUCUGUUAUAUACUGGUCCUGGAGUCAGACCAACUGGAUUCAAAUACACCUCUGUAGCAUGGUCACUGUUUUGCCUUUGGCAAGUGAUUUGACCUACGUUAGUGAUUAACCUUUAAAGUCCUGUUAGCGCCCUGCUCACUGAGACUUGCGGGCACCAGGGACAGCAGUCCUGUGGAGGGCUGGGGCCAGGACACUGAAUAAGCCAUCACCAAGGCCUGAGACCCAACACUCAGGGUCCUGAGAAGGAAAUGGAGCUGAAAGGAGGAGAUGACAGAGUGCCCAGAAAGAAUUCAGCACCUCAAGGCUGAGUUUCCUCGGGUCUAAGUUAUCCCCUUCUGCGAGAAACCCAUGAGGACGAACCCAUGAAGACAUUCGACAUCUGCAGGGAAGUACAGCGUGCUGGGCUGGGAAGAAGCCAAAUUGCAGCACAUUUUCUGACAGAGGGGAAAAGGAUGAAAAAAAUCCAAGAUGCUGGAAAUUCAAGAUCAAGGAACAGUUUUGUGGUUAAGGGGUCAGAAGCUGGUUUGUCCCCUGUCCUUCUGCAGUGACCCCCAGCAAUUUUUAUUUUUCCAUCUGCUUUAUUCUUGGAGUCACGAUGAAGAGGACAUCCUGGCUUUAAUAAUGGACCUGGAUUUUGAGGUCAGUAAGAGUAUUCAGGAAGGUUAGGGAAGAAUAUGCACUGUACAUUUAAUGAGCACCAGGUCCUGAGUUGGAGCCCAGAACUACACCUUCCCUUUCUUUCCAUGGUGGUCUCUACCUCAAACACUCUCUGUUGUCAUUUAGAAUUUAAACAUCCUCCAAAUGGCUCAUGUGCUCAGAGGUGGGGCUUUCAGAGGUGAUUAGACCAUGGGCACUACAGCUGACUUCCUGUUCAGAGGCAGUGUCUGGUUAGAAGAAAGCCAUCUCUGGGGGUAUAACCUGGAAUGCUGUGUCACCCCCAUCCCUUCUCACUCUGCUUCCUGACUGUCAUGAUGUGAGCCGCUUUCUAUACCCAGGCCCUUCCACCAUGCCGUUUCUACCAGCUGACUGUGGAGUGAAUCUUCUAAAAAGCAUGCGACCAAAUAAACGUGUCCUUUAAAUUGUGGGUACCAGAUAUUGUGCGUCAGUGAUGAGGCAAGUGGCUGAGACAGUCCCUAAUAAAUCAUCAGCAUCUCAGAGUCUGUGUCCCUAUGACAGCUCUGGGCUACAUGGCUGAAGAUUCACAUCUGAUACACUUAGUGCAGAAUGCAGGCAAACAUGAACCAGAAUUCCUCCCAACAACACUGGAGACAAGGCAGACCCUCACCUCCCCACUUUGAUGUAAGGGGUACAGGCUCUCUGGAGCACUGGUGUCUGCCUGUACCUCUCCAUGAAGCACGCCAUUGAACCCUUCCUAACCCACCACUCUCCCAUGCCAAACCACCCCUUUGCCUUACCACCCAGCCUUCUCUCAAAAGCAGUGGUUAGCAAUGACCUUAAUAGGAAGUGAGGGGCCCUGCUCCUUCAGC